GGAUGAACGCUGGCGGCGUGCCUAAUACAUGCAAGUCGAGCGAACGGACGAGAAGCUUGCUUCUCUGAUGUUAGCGGCAGACGGGUGAGUAACACGUGGAUAACCUACCUAUAAGACUGGGAUAACUUCGGGAAACCGGAGCUAAUACCGGAUAAUAUUUUGAACCGCAUGGUUCAAAAGUGAAAGACGGUCUUGCUGUCACUUAUAGAUGGAUCCGCGCUGCAUUAGCUAGUUGGUAAGGUAACGGCUUACCAAGGCAACGAUGCAUAGCCGACUGAGAGGGU
rnacentral:rRNA from 1 species